AUUGAACGCUGGCGGCAGGCCUAACACAUGCAAGUCGAACGGUAACAGGAAGAAGCUUGCUUCUUUGCUGACGAGUGGCGGACGGGUGAGUAAUGUCUGGGAAACUGCCUGAUGGAGGGGGAUAACUACUGGAAACGGUAGCUAAUACCGCAUAACGUCGCAAGACCAAAGAGGGGGACCUUCGGGCCUCUUGCCAUCGGAUGUGCCCAGAUGGGAUUAGCAAGUAGGUGGGGUAACGGCUCACCUAGGCGACGAUCCCUAGCUGGUCUGAGAGGAUGACCAGCCACACUGGAACUGAGACACGGUCCAGACUCCUACGGGAGGCAGCAGUGGGGAAUAUUGCACAAUGGGCGCAAGCCUGAUGCAGCCAUGCCGCGUGUAUGAAGAAGGCCUUCGGGUUGUAAAGUACUUUCAGCGGGGAGGAAGGGAGUAAAGUUAAUACCUUUGCUCAUUGACGUUACCCGCAGAAGAAGCACCGGCUAACUCCGUG
rnacentral:rRNA from 1 species